UGAGGCCCAGGGCUACAUAGAGGGCCAGUGACAGCACUAGAACAUAAUAUACACCAGACCUCUCCAAUCCCAGUCUGAAGCCAGUCCACUGAACCGAGGGGCGAUGAUGUCACCAAGGCCUUUCCCUUCUGCUUAAUAAGUUCUACACCCAAAGUGGGGCUUGAACUCAUCGCUCUGGGAUCAAAAGUGGCAUGCUGUACUGUGCCAGCGAGGGGCCUGCAAAAUUUUCCCUUUAUCCAGUAGAUGAAUCUGCUCUGGAGCAAGAUAUAAUCAGUUUAUUAUAAAAGAGACAUGGAAAUUAUUUAUAUGAUGAAAGAUUCCAGAACUUCAGUGGAAUGGGCAGCUUCAUCUGAAAAUCAUUUCAAUAAUGACUUAUUUCAGUCUACAUACUUUCCGAGAAUGUCACCAUCUUUAAAUAAGAAGUAAUCCUUAUCAUCUAGAACUGCUCUGGUGCCUCCAUUAUUCUGGAAGAAGAACUUUCUCUCCAACUUUUACAACUGUUGAAAUCUCUCCACCUUUAGAGCACGAUCCAAUAGUUACUACUGUUGCCUGCAA